UUCAAUAGAAAGCCGAGUCGAGUCGAGUCCUCAACAGAUCGUUCGCCCUAAAUCAACGUAUUCGCAAUUCAAAAUGGUUUGUAUUGCUUGUUUAUUGCCGCUUUUCUUGGUCCCAAUUGUCAACUUGCUGCCCCUACUCUUUGAUCUUAUCAUGGGAAAAAUUUAUGGAAUGUUGGGGUGGGAGUAUAGGAAACCUGAGAGGGCUCCUCCUG